AAACUUAGGAUUAUCCACAAAC
rnacentral:tRNA from 1 species